GCGGCGUGCUUAACACAUGCAAGUCGAGCGGAGAUUGCAUUUAUGUAAUCUUAGCGGCGGACGGGUGAGUAACGCGUAGGCAACCUGCCUUGCACAGAGGGAUAACACCGGGAAACUGGUGCUAAUACCACAUGAUAUCAUAACAAGGCAUCUUGAAAUGAUCAAAGGAUAAAUCCGGUGCAAGAUGGGCCUGCGUCCGAUUAGUUAGUUGGUGAGGUAACGGCUCACCAAGGCGACGAUCGGUAGCCGAACUGAGAGGUUGAUCGGCCACAUUGGGACUGAGACACGGCCCAGACUCCUACGGGAGGCAGCAGUGGGGAAUAUUGCGCAAUGGGGGGAACCCUGACGCAGCAACGCCGCGUGAAGGAAGAAGGCCUUCGGGUUGUAAACUUUUUUGAUUGGGGAAGAAAAAAAUGACGGUACCCAAGGAACAAGCCACGGCUAACUACGUGCCAGCAGCCGCGGUAAUACGUAGGUGGCGAGCGUUGUCCGGAAUUACUGGGUGUAAAGGGCGUGUAGGCGGGAUUGUAAGUCAGAUGUGAAAUUCCAGGGCUUAACUCUGGAGGUGCAUCUGAAACUAUAAUUCUUGAGUGCUGGAGAGGAAAGCGGAAUUCCUAGUGUAGCGGUGAAAUGCGUAGAUAUUAGGAAGAACACCAGUGGCGAAGGCGGCUUUCUGGACAGUAACUGACGCUGAGGCGCGAAAGCGUGGGGAGCAAACAGGGAUUUAGAUACCCUGGUAGUCCACGCUGUAAACGAUGGAUACUAAGGUGUAGGAAGGUAAUCGACCCCUUCUUUCCCCGAAUUCACACCAUUAGUAUCCCACCUUGGGAAUACCGCCGCCAGGCUGAAACUCCAAGGUAUUGACCGGGGCCCGCACCAACAAUUGAAUAACUGGUUUAAUUCCAAGCCACCCCGAGGACCUUACCAGGGCUUGACUUCCCUCGGAUUACAUAGAGAUAUGUUAAUCCUUCCGAACGAAGACACAAGUUGUGCAUUGUUGUCCUCAGCUUCUCUCCUGAGAUCUUUGGUUAAAUCCCGCCACGAGCGCCACCCCUUUUGUUAAUUGCCAUCAAUAAGUUGGGCACUUUUACGAGACUGCCGGUGACAAAUCCGGACGAAGGUGGGGACGACGUCAAAUCAUCAUGCCCCUUAUGUCCUGGGCUACACACGUACUACAAUGGUCACUACAAAGGGAAGCAAUACCGCAAGGAGGAGCAAAUCCCCAAAGGUGACCUCAGUUCGGAUUGUGGCCUGAAACCCGCCCACAUGAAGUCGGA
rnacentral:rRNA from 1 species